rnacentral:rRNA from 1 species
GACGGAGGAUGCAAGCGUUAUCCGGAAUUAUUGGGCGUAAAGCGUCCGCAGGCGGCCUGUUAAGUCUGCUGUUAAAGCCCACAGCUCAACUGUGGAUCGGCAGUGGAAACUAAUAGGCUAGAGUACGGUAGGGGUAGAGGGAAUUCCCAGUGUAGCGGUGAAAUGCGUAGAUAUUGGGAAGAACACCAGUGGCGAAGGCGCUCUACUGGGCCGUAACUGACGCUGAGGGACGAAAGCUAGGGGAGCGAAAGGG